rnacentral:pre_miRNA from 1 species
UUGGAGGAUUUGAAGACUUUAACUUACAAACUUGAAGAAUUUGAAGACAUCAACUUGCAUAUUUGGAGGAUUUUGAAAACUUCAACU